CGCGGGGCUGUCCCUCUGGAGAGAGUACCUUGUUCCCCUGGAGGUGCAUGGGAGGAAGGUCAGUGGAUACUGGGAUACGGGCGCAGAGGUGACGCUGGCCCGGCCCGAGGUGGUGGCCCCAGAUCAGGUGGUGCCCAACACCUACCUGACCCUGACGGGGGUGGGCGGGACACCAGUCAAAGUGCCCGUGGCAAGGGUACACCUGAAGUGGGGGGCCAAGGAGGGCCCCAAGGAUGUGGGGGUUCACCCGUAUUUGCCCACUGAGGUGUUGAUGGGGGCGGACCUGGAGAACUGGCCCAGCAACCCCCAAAGGGCACUGGUUGUGACCCGCAGUCAGAGCCGGCGAGGGGCCCUGCGCCCUGGCCUUGGGGGGGGUGCCUUGCCUGAGGCGCAGGACCCUAACCUGGUGGGGAGGGAACGCCCAGGGACACGGCUCAGGGAGGCUGCAGCUUCAGACCCAGCGGGCGAGAAAGAGCAGGUGGCCAUCCCUGUCCCAGCUGCUGAGUUCCAGGCCGAGUUGCAGAGAGAUCCCUCCUUGCGGAAGAUAAGGGACCUGGCCGACCUCAAUGCGGUACAGACCAUGGGACGAGGUGGCCGGAAAAGGUUCCUGUGUGAGAAGGGGUUCCUGUACCGAGAAUGGGCUCCCCCAGGGAAAAUGGAGUCAGGGGAGAUCAGGAGGCAGCUGGUGGUACCCCAGAAGUAUCGCCGCCAGCUGCUGUGCCGGGCCCAUGACAUUCCUCUCUCAGGGCACCAGGGAACCUGGCGUACCCAGCAGAGGCUGCUACGGAGCUUUUACUGGCCUGGGGUCUUUGUUACUGUCCGACAGUACUGCGGAACCUGUGACCCCUGUCAGAGGGGGAGGAAGGCCUGGGACAAGGGGAAAACAGCUUUAGGACCCUUACCCAGCAUAAAGGAUCCUUUCCGGAGGGUGGCCAAGGUUAAAAGGGCGGCUCUAAACCAAGAGAGCCCAAAGCACAGACCUCCGGACUGGAGCGCUGGGAGAAGACCACAGCCCAGUUGGAACCCCAGAGGUAUGGGGGUGGGAAAAGGGCACAGGCCGCAUAAACCUUCCCACAU
ensembl:lncRNA